rfam:Perkinsus marinus ATCC 50983 gcontig_1104296792090, whole genome shotgun sequence.
GGGUGUGUGGUGUAGAAGUAUCACGUCUGCUUCGCAUGCAGAAGGCCCCGAGUUCGAUUCUCGGCACAUCCA